CUUCACCGAGCCCAGCCACAAAGGCGCUUCCGGGUCCCGGUCCCGGCCGUAGGUGGCCAGCAGCGCCUGCGCCUC
rfam:Streptomyces oceani strain SCSIO 02100 scaffold96, whole genome shotgun sequence.